rnacentral:rRNA from 1 species
GACGAACGCUGGCGGCGUGCUUAACACAUGCAAGUCGAACGAUGAAGCUGGAGCUUGCUCCGGUGGAUUAGUGGCGAACGGGUGAGUAACACGUGAGUAAUCUGCCCUUGACUCUGGGAUAACUGCGGGAAACUGUAGCUAAUACCGGAUACGACACCUUCGGGCAUCCGAUGGGUGUGGAAAGAAUUUCGGUCAAGGAUGAACUCGCGGCCUAUCAGCUAGUUGGUGAGGUAAUGGCUCACCAAGGCGACGACGGGUAGCCGGCCUGAGAGGGUGACCGGCCACACUGGGACGGAGACACGGCCCAGACUCCUACGGGAGGCAGCGGUGGGGAAUAUUGCACAAUGGGCGAAAGCCUGAUGCAGCAACGCCGCGUGAGGGAUGAAGGCCUUCGGGUUGUAAACCUCUUUUAGUUGGGAAGAAGCGAAAGUGACGGUACCAACAGAAAAAGCACCGGCUAACUACGUGCCAGCAGCCGCCGUAA